rnacentral:rRNA from 1 species
CAUGCAAGUCGAGCGGACCGACGGGAGCUUGCUCCCUUAGGUCAGCGGCGGACGGGUGAGUAACACGUGGGUAACCUGCCUGUAAGACUGGGAUAACUCCGGGAAACCGGGGCUAAUACCGGAUGCUUGAUUGAACCGCAUGGUUCAAUCAUAAAAGGUGGCUUUUAGCUACCACUUGCAGAUGGACCCGCGGCGCAUUAACUAGUUGGUGAGGUAACGGCUCACCAAGGCGACGAUGCGUAGCCGACCUGAGAGGGUGAUCGGCCACACUGGGACUGAAACACGGCCCAAACUCCUACGGGAGGCAGCAGUAGGGAAUCUUCCGCAAUGGACGAAAGUCUGACGGAACAACGCCGCGUGAGUGAUGAAGGUUUUCGGAUCGUAAAACUCUGUUGUUAGGGAAGAACAAGUACCGUUCGAAUAGGGCGGUACCUUGACGGUACCUAACCAGAAAGCCACGGCUAACUACGUGCCAGCAGCCGCGGUAAUACGUAGGUGGCAAGCGUUGUCCGGAAUUAUUGGGCGUAAAGCGCGCGCAGGCGGUUUCUUAAGUCUGAUGUGAAAGCCCCCGGCUCAACCGGGGAGGGUCAUUGGAAACUGGGGAACUUGAGUGCAGAAGAAGAGAGUGGAAUUCCACGUGUAGCCGUGAAAUGCGUAGAGAUGUGGAGGAACACCAGUGGCGAAGGCGACU